AGAGUUUGAUCCUGGCUCAGAGCGAACGCUGGCGGCGUGCUUAACACAUGCAAGUCGAACGCGCAGCAGUUUGUAGCAAUACAGAUUGUGGGCGCGUGGCGAACGGGUGCGUAACACGUGGAUAACCUUCCUUCAGGUGGGGAAUAACCCAGUGAAAAUUGGGCUAAUACCGCAUAACAUGACGAUGGCUCAUGCUGUUGUCUUCAAAGGCGCAAGUCGCCAGAAGAGGGAUCCGCGGCCGAUUAGCUAGUUGGCGAGGUAAUGGCUCACCAAGGCAUUGAUCGGUAGCCGGACUGAGAGGUUGGCCGGCCACACUGGAACUGAGACACGGUCCAGACUCCUACGGGAGGCAGCAGUGGGGAAUCUUGCACAAUGGACGAAAGUCUGAUGCAGCAACGCCGCGUGGGGGAUGAAGCUUUUCGGAGUGUAAACCCCUUUCGACCCGGAAGAAAGCCCGCAAGGGUUUGACGGUACGGGUAUAAGAAGCCCCGGCUAACUACGUGCCAGCAGCCGCGGUAAAACGUAGGGGGCCAGCGUUGCUCGGAAUUACUGGGCGUAAAGGGUCCGUAGGCGGUGUGGCAAGUCGGUAGUGAAAUCUCUGGGCUUAACUCGAGGCCUGCAACGCUGACUGCCGUGCUGGAGUGUGGGAGAGGUGCGUGGAAUUCCCGGUGUAGCGGUGAAAUGCGUAGAUAUCGGGAGGAACACCUGUGGCGAAAGCGGCGCACUGGACCACAACUGACGCUGAGGCGCGAAAGCUAGGGGAGCAAACAGGAUUAGAUACCCUAGUAGUCC
rnacentral:rRNA from 1 species